GACGUAGGGCGCGAGCGUUGUCCGGAAUUAUUGGGCGUAAAGGGCUCGUAGGCGGUCUGUCGCGUCGGGGAGUGAAAACUUACAGCUUAACUGUGAGCGUGCUUCCGAUACGGGCAGACUUGAGGUAUUCAGGGGAGAACGGAAUUCCUGGUGUAGCGGUGAAAUGCGCAGAUAUCAGGAGGAACACCAGCGGCGAAGGCGGCGCUCUGGGCCGGUACUGACACUGAGGAGCGAAAGCGUGGGUAGCAAACAGG
rnacentral:rRNA from 1 species